rnacentral:rRNA from 1 species
GACGAACGCUGGCGGCGUGCUUAACACAUGCAAGUCGAACGGAAAGGCCCUGCUUUUGUGGGGUGCUCGAGUGGCGAACGGGUGAGUAACAAGUGAGUAACCUGCCCUUGACUUUGGGAUAACUUCAGGAAACUGGGGCUAAUGCCGGAUAGGAGCUCCGGCUGCAUGGUGGGGGUUGGAAAGUUUCGGCGGUUGGGGAUGGACUCGCGGCUUAUCAGCUUGUUGGUGGGGUAGUGGCUUACCAAGGCUUUGACGGGUAGCCGGCCUGAGAGGGUGACCGGCCACAUUGGGACUGAGAUACGGCCCAGACUCCUACGGGAGGCAGCAGUGGGGAAUCUUGCACAAUGGGCGGAAGCCUGAUGCAGCAACGCCGCGUGCGGGAUGCCGGCCUUCGGGUUGUAAACCGCUUUCGCCUGUGACGAAGCGUGAGUGACGGUACUGGGUAAAGAAGCACCGGCUAACUACGUG